rnacentral:rRNA from 1 species
AGCGAACGCUGGCGGCAGGCCUAACACAUGCAAGUCGAACGGAUCCUUCGGGAUUAGUGGCGGACGGGUGAGUAACACGUGGGAACGUGCCCUUUGGUUCGGAACAACUCAGGGAAACUUGAGCUAAUACCGGAUGUGCCCUUCGGGGGAAAGAUUUAUCGCCAUUGGAGCGGCCCGCGUCUGAUUAGCUAGUUGGUGGGGUAAAGGCCCACCAAGGCGACGAUCAGUAGCUGGUCUGAGAGGAUGAUCAGCCACAUUGGGACUGAGACACGGCCCAAACUCCUACGGGAGGCAGCAGUGGGGAAUCUUGCGCAAUGGGCGAAAGCCUGACGCAGCCAUGCCGCGUGAAUGAUGAAGGUCUUAGGAUUGUAAAAUUCUUUCACCGGGGACGAUAAUGACGGUACCCGGAGAAGAAGCCCCGGCUAACUUCGUGCCAGCAGCCGCGGUAAUAC